ACAAUUCUCUGUUAGGUGAGGCUCCUGCAUAAAAAAAUGCCACUACCCGGAAACGUCGAGAGACGCCAAUGGGUUAACAGGUACUACCGAAUUAAGGUUUUACUUAAUGUGGCUGAGUAAGAAUCGAGCUCUACGUUAUGCAGUGCUAAAACUAAACGAGUAGAGGAGGUC
rnacentral:sRNA from 2 species